GAGUUCCCUUGGAUUUUGUUUCAGUGACAGUAUCAUUAAGUAAUUUUCUUAGAUUAAAAAUUGUGGUGUAUCUUUCACUUCAGGUAAGCCAAAAUAAGAACCAAUAAUCUGAACCAUCAUAAAAAGAAAGCGUCAUUAAAGGUAUAGUCUUCAAACAAAGACCACUUGAGUUGAGCAAUGCCAGCUGGGGAACAAGAUGAAUGUAUAGUGAGAUUACUGUCUUUACAGAAUAUGAAAAGAUGUUAACUUUAGGAAGAAAAUGUCCUGAC
rnacentral:lncRNA from 1 species